rnacentral:rRNA from 1 species
UUGAACGCUGGCGGCAUGCUUUACACAUGCAAGUCGAACGGUAACAGGCCUUCGGGUGCUGACGAGUGGCGAACGGGUGAGUAGUGCAUCGGAACGUGCCCAGAGGUGGGGGAUAACGCAGCGAAAGCUGUGCUAAUACCGCAUGUGAUCUGAGGAUGAAAGCGGGGGACCAGGCAGCAAUGUUUGGCCUCGCGCCUUUGGAGCGGCCGAUGUCAGAUUAGGUAGUUGGUGGGGUAAAGGCCUACCAAGCCGACGAUCUGUAGCUGGUCUGAGAGGACGACCAGCCACACUGGGACUGAGACACGGCCCAGACUCCUACGGGAGGCAGCAGUGGGGAAUUUUGGACAAUGGGCGCAAGCCUGAUCCAGCAAUGCCGCGUGCGGGAAGAAGGCCUUCGGGUUGUAAACCGCUUUUGUACGGAACGAAAAGGCUCUGGCUAAUACCUGGGGCUGAUGACGGUACCGUAAGAAUAAGCACCGGCUAACUACGUG